rnacentral:rRNA from 1 species
GACAGAGGGUGCAAACGUUGUUCGGAAUUACUGGGCGUAAAGCGUGCGCAGGCGGUUUGCUAAGACAGGUGUGAAAUCCCCGGGCUUAACCUGGGAACUGCGCUUGUAACUGGCAAGCUGGAGUGUGGCAGAGGGGGGUGGAAUUCCAGGUGUAGCAGUGAAAUGCGUAGAGAUCUGGAGGAACACCGAUGGCGAAGGCAGCCCCCUGGGCUAACACUGACGCCUCAUGCACGAAAGCGUGGGGAGCAAACAGG